UUCUUAAUUAGAAGCUGGUAUGAAUGAUUGGACAAGAAAUUAUCUGUCUCUUUUUUAAAAUUUUAAUUUUAUUUUUAAGUUAAAAAGCUUAAAUUUAUUUACGGGACGAGAAGACCCUAUAGAGUUUUAUAUUUAUUAAUUUUAUUUAAAUUUUAGUAUUUAAUUUUUGAUGUUUAAUAAUAUUUGGUUGGGGUGACAGAAAAAUUUAAUAAACUUUUUCUUUAUUUUUAAUAUUUAUUUAUAGAUUUUUGACUUAAAUUUUUAGUUAAAAGAUUAAAUUACCUUAGGGAUAACAGCGUAAUAUUUUUUAAGAGUUCUUAUCGAAAAAACUGAUUGCGACCUCGAUGUUGGAUUAAAGUUAAGAGUUGGUGUAGAAGCUAAUUGUUUUAGUCUGUUCGACUAUUAAAACUUUACAUGAUCUGAGUUUAAACCGGCGUGAGCCAGGUUGGUUUCUAUCUGUAAAUAUGUUAUAAUAUUUUAGUACGAAAGGACCAAAUAUUUUUUAAAUUAAUUUUUAUUGAUUUAUAUUAAAU
rnacentral:rRNA from 1 species